AGAGCGAACGCUGGCGGCAGGCCUAACACAUGCAAGUCGAACGGACCUUUCGGGGUUAGUGGCGGACGGGUGAGUAACACGUGGGAACGUGCCUUUUGGUUCGGAAUAGCUCCUGGAAACGGGUGGUAAUGCCGAAUGUGCCCUUCGGGGGAAAGAUUUAUCGCCAUUAGAGCGGCCCGCGUCUGAUUAGCUAGUUGGUGAGGUAAAGGCUCACCAAGGCUACGAUCAGUAGCUGGUCUGAGAGGAUGACCAGCCACAUUGGGACUGAGACACGGCCCAAACUCCUACGGGAGGCAGCAGUGGGGAAUCUUGCGCAAUGGGCGAAAGCCUGACGCAGCCAUGCCGCGUGAAUGAUGAAGGUCUUAGGAUUGUAAAAUUCUUUCACCGGGGACGAUAAUGACGGUACCCGGAGAAGAAGCCCCGGCUAACUUCGUGCCAGCAGCCGC
rnacentral:rRNA from 1 species